UUUUUUUUUUUUUGAAAAAAAAUUAAUCCCAGUGGAGUUUGGCUUGAGCUAAACUGAUGCCAGCAUGAAAAUCAAAAGGCUGAGAACUCAGUGGCAUCAGGCAAUCAAAUCAUUGUAGUUUCAUAAAUAAUACAUUGAAACAUGCACUUGCAAACAUAAUCUCAAAACAAGGAAUUUGUUGAUAGAAACUGCUCUUAAGAAAAGGAAUUUUACCUUUCUGAUAGGAAAUAUGUUUGAGAAUAGACCAUUAAUAGUUAGUUAUUGAUUCAGUUCGAAAACAUAAUUACUUGAUUUUAAUGCAUCCAAGAACAAAAGAAUCCCUUUCGAGAAAAACCACACAAAGGACUUGACUAGGCAUAAUAACAGCAAAUAUUGUAUAUUACAGCCUAACAGGCCUUCCAACAACACAAUUUCAUAAAAGGUUUACCACCAUUGAGCAGUUCCUUAACUUUCUCCAAACAAUGUGAACUGCAUUUGCUAGGAGAUUUACAGUUGUCCUGCUACUGACCAAUAGUAAGAUUAGCUAGGUUUUCCUUUCUGAUGCUCCAAUUCUUCAUUUUGCCCUUCCUUACUCGUGUCGCAACAUAACAAUGGACACUACAUGCAAGAUCUCUCAAGAUAAAAAGCACAUUGAAUUAAAGGAUAGGUAAAAA
rnacentral:misc_RNA from 1 species